rnacentral:rRNA from 1 species
AGCGAACGCUGGCGGCAGGCUUAACACAUGCAAGUCGAACGGGCACCUUCGGGUGUCAGUGGCAGACGGGUGAGUAACACGUGGGAACGUACCCUUUGGUUCGGAACAACUCUGGGAAACUGGAGCUAAUACCGGAUACGCCCUGAUGGGGAAAGGUUUAUCCGCCGAAGGAUCGGCCCGCGUCUGAUUAGCUAGUUGGUGGGUAACGGCCCGACCAAGGCGACGAUCAGUAGCUGGUCUGAGAGGAUGAUCAGCCACACUGGGACUGAGACAC